CCCUAGCCCCGAUGGAAGUGGAAAUCCUUUAUUUAGAGCCGGUUUUUUAACCGGAUCUUAAUAAAGAUUGUAACGUACAGCGGGACAACUC
rfam:Flavobacterium sp. FPG59 Contig_118, whole genome shotgun sequence.